rnacentral:rRNA from 1 species
AGCCUGAAUCAGUAUGUGUGUUAGUGGAAGCGUCUGGAAAGGCGCGCGAUACAGGGUGACAGCCCCGUACACAAAAAUGCACAUGCUGUGAGCUCGAUGAGUAGGGCGGGACACGUGGUAUCCUGUCUGAAUAUGGGGGGACCAUCCUCCAAGGCUAAAUACUCCUGACUGACCGAUAGUGAACCAGUACCGUGAGGGAAAGGCGAAAAGAACCCCGGCGAGGGGAGUGAAAAAGAACCUGAAACCGUGUACGUACAAGCAGUGGGAGCACGCUUAGGCGUGUGACUGCGUACCUUUUGUAUAAUGGGUCAGCGACUUAUAUUCUGUAGCAAGGUUAACCGAAUAGGGGAGCCGAAGGGAAACCGAGUCUUAACUGGGCGUUAAGUUGCAGGGUAUAGACCCGAAACCCGGUGAUCUAGCCAUGGGCAGGUUGAAGGUUGGGUAACACUAACUGGAGGACCGAACCGACUAAUGUUGAAAAAUUAGCGGAUGACUUGUGGCUGGGGGUGAAAGGCCAAUCAAACCGGGAGAUAGCUGGUUCUCCCCGAAAGCUAUUUAGGUAGCGCCUCGUGAAUUCAUCUCCGGGGGUAGAGCACUGUUUCGGCAAGGGGGUCAUCCCGACUUACCAACCCGAUGCAAACUGCGAAUACCGGAGAAUGUUAUCACGGGAGACACACGGCGGGUGCUAACGUCCGUCGUGAAGAGGGAAACAACCCAGACCGCCAGCUAAGGUCCCAAAGUCAUGGUUAAGUGGGAAACGAUGUGGGAAGGCCCAGACAGCCAGGAUGUUGGCUUAGAAGCAGCCAUCAUUUAAAGAAAGCGUAAUAGCUCACUGGUCGAGUCGGCCUGCGCGGAAGAUGUAACGGGGCUAAACCAUGCAC